rnacentral:rRNA from 1 species
UUAAUAAAUUUUUUUGAGGGGGGGGGUUGGUGUGUGGUGUGUGGGUUUUUUAAGAAAGGGCGCCAUAUAUUGACUGUGCAAAGGUAGCAUAAUUAAUUGCCUUUUAAUUGGAGGCUUGUUUGAAUGGUUUGACGGAGUAAUUUUAAUAUUUUAGGCUUUUGUUGAAAUUGAUAUGCAGGGCUCAGAAUCCUGUAAAGGUUAAUUAGACGGAAAGACCCCAGGAUCUUUGAUUUUGCCUGGGGCAGGUGCUAGUGUUUUAAUGGUAUUUUGUCCCUAAAUUUGGAUUAUUGGGUUAAGUUACCCUGGGGAUAACAGUGUAAUAGUCGAUUAGAGAUCUUAUCGAGUCGAUUGUUUGCCACCUCGAUGUUGACUUGGGUUUAAACUUGGGCGUAGUAGUUUAAGUGUUGGGUCUGUUCGACCUUAUAAACCUUCAUGAGUUGAGUUAAGACCGGCGUGAGCCAGGUCGGUUCUUAUCUAUUGGUGUUACUUAUUAGUACGAAAGGACCAUAAGUUUUUUUAUUGAGUAUGAAAUGUUGAUACUUAGCUUUGCAAAAGCUAAUGAGAAACGGUUUAUGUGUUUCCAUACUUUGUUUGUUUAACUGUGGCAAUAAGAAGUUUUGUUGUAUUAACUGCAUAAAAUGAUUUUAUACUUUAUGAAAUUAGGUUUGGUUUAAGUUUAUUAGCAGUUAGUUUUUUAUUAGGAUGAAAGUCUUUUGAGAGUAUAGCAGAAAAAGGGGAGAGGACACAGUGCCAGCAUCUGCGGUUAAUCUGUUUUCUUUGCUUUUUUGUGGACUUUAUUUAAAUAUUAAUAUGUAAGUUUAGGUGAAAUUUACUUAUUUUUAGUUUGAGUGUUUAAUUUUUGAUAAAUAAUGAWUAGUGACAGGGAUUAGAUACCCCAUUAAUGAGUUAGAUUAUUUUGUCUUWGUAUCRRCUAAAAUAGUUGUCMKUUGUGAGUCCRUUACGGCGCCGUGUUUUAAAAAAUAACCUAAAGGCGGGAAAAAAAAUUUUCC